rnacentral:rRNA from 1 species
GUGGGGAAUAUUGGUCAAUGGGCGAGAGCCUGAACCAGCCAAGUAGCGUGCAGGAUGACGGCCCUAUGGGUUGUAAACUGCUUUUAUGCGGGGAUAAAGUGAGGGACGUGUCCCUUUUUGUAGGUACCGCAUGAAUAAGGACCGGCUAAUUCCGUGCCAGCAGCCGCGGUAAUACGGAAGGUCCGGGCGUUAUCCGGAUUUAUUGGGUUUAAAGGGAGCGCAGGCGGGGAGGUAAGCGUGACGUGAAAUGUAGCCGCUCAACGGCUGAACUGCGUCGCGAACUGCCUCUCUUGAGUGAGUACGACGUCAGCGGAAUUUGUGGUGUAGCGGUGAAAUGCUUAGAUAUCACGAAGAACCCCGAUUGCGAAGGCAGCUGACGAGUCCUUUACUGACGCUAAAGCUCGAAGGUGCGGGUAUCGAACAGG